UGGGGAAUAUUGGGCAGUGGGGGAAACCCUGACCCAGCAACGCCGCGUGAGGGAAGAAGGUUUUCGGAUUGUAAACCUCUGUCCUUGGUGAAGAAAGAGAUGACGGUAGCCAAGGAGGAAGCCCCGGCUAACUACGUGCCAGCAGCCGCGGUAAUACGUAGGGGGCGAGCGUUGUCCGGAAUUACUGGGCGUAAAGCGCAUGUAGGCGGCUUGUUAAGUCAGGUGUGAAAACUGUCGGCUCAACCGGGAGAGUGCACAUGAAACUGGCAGGCUUGAGGGCAGGAGAGGAGAGCGGAAUUCCUAGUGUAGCGGUGAAAUGCGUAGAUAUUAGGAGGAACACCAGUGGCGAAGGCGGCUCUCUGGACUGAACCUGACGCUGAGAUGCGAAAGCUAGGGGAGCGAACGGG
rnacentral:rRNA from 1 species